UGGGGAAUAUUGGACAAUGGGGGCAACCCUGAUCCAGCGAUGCCGCGUGUGUGAAGAAGGCCUGCGGGUUGUAAAGCACUUUUGUUGGGGAGGAAAGUAGUUGGGAUAAUACGCUGACUAUCUGACGUUACCCAAAGAAUAAGCACCGGCUAACUCUGUGCCAGCAGCCGCGGUAAUACAGAGGGUGCGAGCGUUAAUCGGAAUGACUGGGCGUAAAGGGCGCGUAGGUGGCUAUUUAAGUGAGAUGUGA
rnacentral:rRNA from 1 species